CUCAUCAGAGACACACGGGAGGUGAGAUGUCCCAAUGUGGGUACUCUGCCCAUAGUGUCAGUAAAUGCUAUAUAUUAUUAUAUAUUUUUUUAAAUACAGUGAAGGACUUUAGAGAGAGAGGUCCUCUUAAGCUAAACAUCUCCUUAGGUCAGCUGAGAUGUAAAGCACAGUCCUUGUACCCUCCUGUCGUCAAGAUGGCUCAAAAUUCAUGUGAGGAAGUUGGGUCUGCUGUCCUUAAGAGCUCCAAGCAAAGCCACUUGGUAACAAGGAUACUGCAUCUCAGAGGGAGACAGAUGUGGCAGCUGACAGGGCUGGUGGUGUCACACACCGGGUUCCAGAAUAAAGGCAACUACAAGGCUGAACAGUUUGAAUGUCCAUGGCAGAAGAGAUGCAGUCCACAAUUUGGGUGCACACCUGUGUGUGGACAGGUAAUGAAAGUUUUAAGACAAAAGGUGGUGCUCCUCUUAACCAGGAAACACAACACUGUUUAAAUUUUGCAAGAUAAGGAAGCCCAAGGAAGUUCAGAAGUCUUCAUGGCCACUGACCACCUGCUGACAUCAUCUGUGGGUGAAUCACUUGCUGAUCCAAAAUCACCUGAAGUGAAAUUGUCCUUUAAAACUAACCCAUACAUCUUAGGAUGCAAAACCACAUCAUGGAUUUAAUAAAUUCUCAAUUUAUUGUCCA
rnacentral:lncRNA from 1 species